rnacentral:rRNA from 1 species
AGUGAACGCUGGCGGUAGGCCUAACACAUGCGAGUCGAACGGCAGCACAGUAAGAGCUUGCUCUUACGGGUGGCGAGUGGCGGACGGGUGAGGAAUACAUCGGAAUCUACUUUUUCGUGGGGGAUAACGUAGGGAAACUUACGCUAAUACCGCAUACGACCUACGGGUGAAAGCAGGGGAUCUUCGGACCUUGCGCGAUUGAAUGAGCCGAUGUCGGAUUAGCUAGUUGGCGGGGUAAAGGCCCACCAAGGCGACGAUCCGUAGCUGGUCUGAGAGGAUGAUCAGCCACACUGGAACUGAGACACGGUCCAGACUCCUACGGGACGCAGCAGUGUGGAAUAUUGGACAAUGGGCGCAAGCCUGAUCCAGCCAUACCGCGUGGGUGACGAAGGCCUUCGGGUUGUAAAGCCCUUUUGUUGGGAAAGAAAAGCAGCAGGUUAAUACCCCGCUGUUCUGACGGUACCCAAAGAAUAAGCACCGGCUAACUUCGCG